AUGUACAUUCCUAUAGCAUAGUGUUAAUGCAAAGGAUCCCAUUCGAACUAUGUAGUUAAUUGCAGUCAGGCUAGAGUAGUAUUGGGAUGGGUGACCACCUGGGAAGUCCUAGUGUUUUACGUG
rfam:Picea glauca, whole genome shotgun sequence.